CCCCAGCUAGCUCAGUCAGUAGAGCAUGAGACUUAAUCUCAGGAUUGAGGGUUCAAGCCCCACAUUGGGCA
rnacentral:tRNA from 1 species